GGGCGAUUAGCUCAGUUGGGAGAGCGCCUGCCUUACAAGCAGGAUGUCGGCGGUUCGAGCCCGUCAUCGCCCACCA
rnacentral:tRNA from 1 species